AACGUAGGGGACAAGCGUUAUCCGGAUUUACUGGGCGUAAAGCGCCCGUAGGCGGCCUGACAAGUUGGACGUGAAAGCUCCUGGCUUAACUGGGAGAGGCCGUUCAAAACUGUCAAGCUAGAGUCUGGAAGAGGAGAGCGGAAUUCCCGGUGUAGUGGUGGAAUGCGUAGAGAUCCGGAGGAACACCAGUGGCGAAAGCGGCCACCUGGACUGCACCUGACGCUGACACGCGAAAGCUAGGGGAGCGAACGGG
rnacentral:rRNA from 1 species